AAUGGACUCAUUAUCUCCGACUGCUGCGACCCGUGCUUUUUGCUCCGGCGAAUUACAGAAUGUACAGUCGUUUUUCAGGGACACAGAUAACUUCGCAGCAACACGGAAAGACAUUUCCUUUUGGGCUACGUCGGACAUCGCAAUGUUAUGGUGUUAACAGAGGUCACAUCCCGCCAAAAGCACCGGCGCUAACACUUGACACGCGGAAGAUAUCCCAAAGCAGAAUUUAGGAACAGAAAAUGCCAGAAAAAUAAGGAGCGCAACAGAAUUCAGCCACAGUGCCUCGCGGGAUUGUAACUCACAACAUCUGGGAAGGAGGAUAGCCAUCGGCCGAAGGUGUGGUACCGUGCUCCCACGGCACUAGCCGCCGCCAUGUUCACCGAUCUAAAUCUGUGUCGUUAUGUUCUUAUAACCAAUAUUUCAAGAAUUUUUUUUCACGCUACAACUACCUUCAAUUAUAUUUUUUUCCUUAAAAUGUGACC